rnacentral:rRNA from 1 species
UACGUAGGAGGCGAGCGUUGUCCGGAAUCACUGGGCGUAAAGCGCGUGUAGGCGGGAAGGCAAGUCUGCUGUGAAAGCGCCUGGCUUAACCGGGCGAGGUCGGCGGAAACUGCUUACCUGGAGGACGGUAGAGGGGGGUGGAAUUCCCGGUGUAGUGGUGAAAUGCGUAGAUAUCGGGAGGAACACCAGUGGCGAAGGCGGCUUCCUGGCCCGUUCUUGACGCUGAGGCGCGAAAGCUAGGGGAGCAAACGGG